UCCAUAAAUCUGUAACAAGGAAUGGAAGGACCUGGAAGUGUGGUCAGAGAAUUAAACUUCUUAAGGGAGCAUGUGCUGGGGUUCAGAAGAACAAUGUUUAUGCGACAAUUGAAUACUUUUUGCUUGAAGGUCUCCAAGGUGAAUCUGGUGGUGAGGCUGAAAUUUUAUGCAGGUGUGAUUUCUUGUGCAUAUUCUGCUCAAUUUAUCCUUUCAAGUCUGUCCGAUGAAAAGGGGUGCAUCCUUUCAGUCAAUGAGGGAGAUACUAAUUUGGAUAUGGGCGAAUCCUUGUCUGUACCAUUCAGUGUGGUUGACGCCGGAAAGUGCAUAGAUGUUGAAAGAACUGAGUGGGAAAACCAUAUAAAGAGACCACGGCAGAAAUCUCCUUCUUCAAUUGAACUUCUUGAUGCAGAACAAUGCCAAGAGUUGGAGGUUGAUGGGAUUAAGACCUUAUAUGUGGGCAAUGACUUCAAUGGAGAUGUUCCUUUAACAAAGAAAAUUCUUGCUGCAUUAACUACAGGUAAAUCCACACACACAUCAGCUGAAACUUUGUGAUUUUUGGAGUGCAAAAGUCUUGAGUGAGCCAGACAGAAUUGUUGGGGAGCUAUUGCAGCCUGGGGGAUAUCUCAAAUUGAUUGAGUUGGGUCUUGAAGAUUGAUGCCCAGAAAGUGUUUGGUUAUGCUCUUUACAAAGAUGGGAAGGAUACAACACUGUCUUAUCCCUUGGAGGCUUGGAGGCAUCUACUCAUAUGGACCAGUUUCUCUUCUCUCUGGUCUUAACCCUCGUCCAUUACACUUGUUUCUCCAUUUCUUUGCAGCUGCCAUCUAUGGUGUUGGCCGCUUAAUGCUUCCGUUCCCUUCACCUAAACGCAUGUGGCUUGGGUUUCUAUUGAUCUUGAGUGCAUCACACAUCAUAUUCAGUCUCUUAAGCAAUCAAAUGAAGCACUAUGUCAUGCUAAAUAAAGUUUAGGGUCAACCACUGAUUUAAUCAUAUGGUAUAUCACUCCUAGAGGUAACUAAAACGUAAGGAAUAAUUGAGCUUAUGGUAACUGGAUUGUUCAUUGGAAGAUACUGGACUGUUCAUGCUAAUGGUAACUGCAGCGCGUGCAAUUAUUUUGGUACAUUCAGGAUUAACAAGUGCCAAUUUGGUUGUCUCCAACCGACUCAACAAUGGUAUCAUGUUCCUCGGUAUUGGCUCAAGCCAUCCCAAAAUUUGUUGGUGGUAUUUGAGGAGCUUGCUGGCGAUGUUACAAAGAUUGAUCUUCUGAAAGUCACCCACGUGUUGAGAAAUGGCAGACCAAGAACCGAGGCAAACUGAAGGAGCAAAAGAAGCCUAAACUUCGUCUAGAGUGUACAAACGAGCAAUCCAUUUCUACUAUUAAAUUUUCAAGCUUCGGUACUCCACCUAGAAGCUAUGGGAACUGUAACCAUGGUACCUGUCACACUCGAAACUCUACCGAUGUGCUGAAUAAGGUACCCUCACAGUAGUGUCACGCUGCUACUGCUUUGCUUCAGUUCAGGGUCAAAAGUUUUUCCAUUUACCCAAGUUCAAGAUCAAUAAAACCUUGGACAAACUUGCAGUAUUGCUAGCUAUUUUGCUAUGUUGUUUACUUGGUUGCCCGAAUUGUGUAGUGCUUCUAGUUUAUUACCUUGCAGUACUGCAUGCAUAUAUUUUGUUGGCUGCCUAGAUUAUUAGAUAUGGGCCAUUUUGAACUAAUGUUCAUGAUUAGGCUUGUGUACACGAGACGAUGAUGGAUUAUUUUCAGAAUGAUUUUGGAU